rnacentral:rRNA from 1 species
UACGAAGGGGGCUAGCGUUGCUCGGAAUCACUGGGCGUAAAGGGUGCGUAGGCGGGUCUUAAGUCAGAGGUGAAAUCCUGGAGCUCAACUCCAGAACUGCCUUUGAUACUGGCGAUCUUGAGUCCGGGAGAGGUGAGUGGAACUGCGAGUGUAGAGGUGAAAUUCGUAGAUAUUCGCAAGAACACCAGUGGCGAAGGCGGCUCACUGGCCCGGUACUGACGCUGAGGUGCGAAAGCGUGGGGAGCAAACAGG